AUUGAACGCUGGCGGCAUGCUUUACACAUGCAAGUCGAACGGCAGCGCGGGCUUCGUCCUCGCGGCGAGUGGCGAACGGGCGAGUAAUGCAUCGGAACGUGCCCAGCAGUGGGGGCUAGCACGGCGAAAGCCGGACUAAUACCGUAUCCGAUCUUAGGGUGAAAGCGGGGGACCGAAAGUCCACGCGCGAUUUGAUGGGACCAUGUCGGAUUAGCUAGUUGGUUUGGUAAAGGCUUACCAAGGCGACGAUCCGUAGCUGAUCUGAGAGGGCGACCAGCCACACUGGAACUGAGACACGGCCCAGACUCCUACGGGAGGCAGCAGUAGGGAAUUUUCGGCAAUGGGCGCAACCCUGAUCCAGCCAUGCCGCGUGAGGGAUGAAGGCCUUCGGGUUGUAAACCGCUUUUAUUCGGGAAGAAAUACUCUGUAAGAAUAUCCCGGGGGGAUGACGGUACCGAAUGAGUAAGCACCGGCUAACUACGUG
rnacentral:rRNA from 1 species